UUUUUUUUUUUAGGUUAACUAGGGAAUUUAUUCAAGGUUCAAAAAUUCAGGGAAAUAGAUAAUAUCCGGAACUAACCCUAGCCACAAGUGUCGUCCCACAUCUAGGGAGGACGCUGCUUUUGCUAACAUAUGAGCUUCGUAAUUAGCUUCCUGAGGUUCAAACCGGAAGCAAACAUCAUCAAAAUCAUUCCUUCGAUACUGAAUCUCGUUCAGAAUUGAGGCAUAAGUGGCAGAUGUCCCCUUAUUGAUACCAUUGAUGACCUCCAAGCAAUCAGCCGCCACCACCACAUUCCUCAAGGCAAGGUCUUGGGCAAGAGCCAUCCCCUCAUUGCAUGCAUAGGUCUUCAAGCAGGCUGGGUCCACAAGGCCAUCAAAGAUGAUGGCUGAGGCGCCUAGGUAAUGUCCAUUGCUAUCUCUGCAAACAGCGGCUGCUGCUCCCCUAUUUCCAUUCCGCGAUACACCUCCAUCUGCAUUUAUUUUUACUGCUGUUCCACCAGGAGGAAUCCACUUGCGAACUCUCUGUCUUGGCGCAGGUGGUGAAGGCCUGGUAAGUUCUCUUGCAGCAGCGAUUUCAAGGUCCUGUAGAUAUCUGUUGAUAAAACACAUGGUUGGUAGGGGGCUCUGGAACUCUUCAUCGUGAAUCGCUCGUCUCCUCGCCCACCAAAUCGCCCACAGUGUGAUCAGUACACGAGCGAGAUCCUGCUGGUUAGGCCUCUUUUGGUUCAUAGGAUAGGAUUAUCGUAGUAAUAGGAAUCUUGUAGGAAAUGAGAUGACAUGUAUCUCAAAUCCUAUGAGUAGGAAUAGGAAACAAGAUGUCAUUUGGUUGACACCAAAGGAAUUUUUCCAUUGAGUCUAGGCUCAUUUUUAUUUUCCUAUGAAAUGUGAAGGAUAGGAACCAAUCCUAUAUAGUAAUAGGAAUCCAUUCCUAUGAACCAAAGGCUCUAAAGGAAAAAAAAUCCUAUAAGAAUUCUAUCCUCUAGAAUUCCUAUGAAAUUCCUCCAAAUCAAAGGAGGCCUAAGUGUUUCAAACAACCAAAAUAGCUAUACACGAGCAUCUUCAGACCGGUUUGACAGCACAUGCUCCAAAACUUCUUCGUCCCCCAAAGCCCAUACACAUCUGGCCAUGCGACAUCUUCUAUAUCUAAAUAGUUAGGCCCCCACUAACCUAUUUCUCUCAACAUGCAAGCAUGCCACCUCAUCAAGCAACAUGCAUUAGAAAAGACCCACUUCAACAUUCAAUGAGUCAUAGGAAAAGGUUGACUUCAACAUGCAAACAUGCAUGAUAUAUUUAAUAAAUAUUUUACAAAAAUACAAUAAUCAAAUACAAUAAACCAUAUGUAUUUUUAGAUUUAGCUCACAUAUUAUUUCUCCAAAUAUUCUUAUUUCCAUAAAAUUAUUAAUAUCUUAGAAAAAUAUUGUAAAAUAAUCCCGCAACAACGUGCGGGAGAUCGUCUAGUUCAAAUAGCGAGUGUCCCCACGUAUCUUCUUCCGCGCAAGGGGAGGUUUGCCUGCUCUCGAAAAAAAAAAGCUCGAAAGGGGAUGGAGAAUCGGCCUCGGGCCAAAGCCCGAUAUAACUCGCUGGCCCAUUGUUUUCUCGCUCGGCCCAUCGUUAUCCCAUCCGCGCGCGUGGCUGCAAGCCCCUGCCCGCCACGUAGCACAUUCCGCAGCCGCAGCUCGGCUCACCUCAGCCUGCUCACCUCCACCUCUCAAACACGCGCGCCUCCACCUCCUCCCAUGAGAGGCGCGCCAUCCUCUCCAUGGCCUCCUCCUCCCUCCUGCCCCCGCCCACCUUCGCCAACAAGUACCAUGCGCUGCUCCACCCGCACGGCGCCAGGCACCGGCUGACCAGGUGCGGUGCCGCGCCCACCGACGGCGGCGCGGGGGACGAGCUCCUCACCGGCGCGCUGAAUCUGAACCUGGUAAGGCCCGACCCGGUGGUGGCGACCGUGGUCAGCGACACGGGCACCGAUGGCUGGGGUGACCUUUUCACCGAGCUCAAGAGGUCGCUGCAGGCGGACUCGUCCGACCCGGCCGCCAGCGAUUCGUCAUCCAUUGGCGCGGCUGUCCCGGACGGGCUCCUGAGCUCGCCUCUGGCCGGCGAAUCGGCCAAUGCCAACGCGGCCCUCGUCGUCCCGGAAGGGGUCCUGACGAGCUUGCCGGACUCGGCGACGGACGGCGUGGGCGCGGCCGUGGACGCCAUCCCGGACGAGCUCCUCUCCGCGCUGAACCUGGACGCGUCCAGCCCGGCGGUGCGCGUGGCGGACGACGCGCUGUCCCGGAUGGAGGAGCUGACGGCGGGGAUGAACGAGGCGGAGCGGUGGGCGCUGUUCGGGGUGGUGGCGGUGACGUGGCUGUACCUGACGGCGCGGCCCGGGGUGCUGAGCGGCGCGGUGGACACGUACGUGUUGGCGCCGCUGCAGCAGGCGCUGGACACGCUGCUGGGGCGGCGGAGCCUCAAGAUGAGCGACUUCGUGGUGGGCGAGCGCAUCGGGGAGGGGUCGUUCGGGGUGGUAUUCUCCGGCGCCGUGGUGCCCAGGGGCGGCCCCGCCGUCGAGGAGAGGGCCGGCAGGGCCAAGACCAAGCUCCAGCUCGACGACCGGUACAAGGAGAAGGUCAUACUCAAGAAGGUGAGGGUGGAUUGGAAGCGACGCUAGCUCGAUCGGCUCCGCCGGGGUUGCAAGCAAAAAUGGCGACGAAUCUGAUGGGUGGACCGGCGGUGCGUGUUUUGAUUUUGCAGAUAAAAGUGGGGACGGUUGGAGCCAAGGAGUGCGGCGACUACGAGGAGUGGUUCAACUACCGGGUGGCGAGGGCGGCGCCGGAGUCGUGCGCGGAUUUCAUGGGGAGCUUCGUCGCCGACAAGACCAAGUCGGAGUUCGUCAAGGGCGGCAAGUGGCUCGUCUGGAAGUUUGAGGUAUGCUUCUUCAUAAAUAAUGCAAAAUAUUUUUUAAAAGGGAAAAUGGGGAGUUUUAUUCCAAUAUUGUUGGACUACAGUGCUACACUCUGCACGCACGAUUAUAGUUUGCCCAGAAAAAAAAAGAUUAUAGUUUGCCAAGUGAUAUGUUACUGUAUCCAUGUCUCGGAGCAUGACUACGCACAUUGCACCCACUAGCCGACCUGACUACCACAAACAGACACUGCUAAGAUGAAGAAGAAGAAGAAUAUCCAUCAAGGUAGACAGGGCCAUUGCCGUUACAUAUAUUGCCCUAACUAGCGACUUCGACUUCAUGGUAGACUACCACGAAUGGCAAGGUGAGCUAUCUCAAAAACAAAAACAAUGAUAAAAAACAAAGACUAACACCAAAUGGAGCAAUCCACAGUAAAUGCACAAAAGCCAUGCGAUUCCAUGCCAACAAUUGGUCCCACAUAUAAAUUCGAUGGGCUUGCAGCAAUCGAGCCCCCCCCCCCCCACCCACCCACACACGCACACAAUGAACAACGAUUGCAACGCCAUCGCCGCCACCGCAGUUCUGACUCCAUGGCGACACAACGAAACACUGAAGAACCAAUUGAACACGUCGGAAAACCGUAGCGAAAUCAAAGCCCUGCUUGAUGCAAUCAUCGUUACCAAGCAGAUCCCAGCACCUCCAGGCACCCACCUCAUAAAAAAACUAUCAUCCGGCGAUGAUGUCCCCGAGGAGGGGAAAGAUGCAAAAAUGCAUGUGUCACCAGAUCUAGUGAAUCAUAGGUUUUCCUUAAGAGUCAAGGUCGUCGGGCGAGGAGAGGAGCACAACCCCACAUCAAAGCUUUCAAGAUAUUCUAGGGACUUCACACGCAUUGUCGUCGCUGGUUUCAACCAAGACCAGAACAAGAAUUUCUCUCGGACAUCCCUCAACCUCAUGUUGCCCGAAUCACCCUUCCAUGAGUCGCAAUCGUACCACUACAACCCAUACAAAGGACGUGAAAGUGCUUCGAAAGGUGUCGGCCGGUGCACGGAACCGGAGACGACAUGUUCACCCAAGCCCCACCGACGACCACCCCUACUAGGCAACCCCCUAAGUCCACAGGACCCGUAGUGCUGGUUGUGUUCACCAUUCCUCAUGGACCAACACAGUGCCACCAUCAACCACCUUUUAGACUAAAGCACGCUGAGUCGCUGAUAGAGCACGAAGUAGCAGAGAGAUAUCACCGAGGCUGAUAGAGCAGGAAGUAGCAGAGAGAUAUCACCGAGUUACACAAUCCGUCGCCGCCUCGUCAGAGCAACUACAAGGAGGCACCAGAAGAGAGUUGGGGAAUAUGCAAGCCUUUUUUUCCCACAACGGAAUUUUGAUGAGGUAUGUGUGUUAACACGGAUGGAAGGAUUGCCUUAAGAAAAAUACAUGGUUGAAAAUAGGGUAUAGCUCUGUGAGUCUUAGUUAUCCAAGUACAGAAGAUUCUCCAUAGAAAGAAAAUUCAAAUAGGAAAAGAAUGAUUUCUGUCAAAAAUAAAAAACUUGGCCCAUACAGGUCUCGAACCUGUGACCUUCGCGUUAUUAGCACGACGCUCUAACCAGCUGAGCUAAUAGGCCUGUUGUGCUAUGGGUCGAAUAGCACUUUAUUUAUUGAAUGAUAAAGCGUACAUUGGAUGCUUGCUUACGCCGGCAAUGGCCAAUAAACUCCAAACGCGCGCGCUCUGACACUUGAACUUCUUCCUCCGUGCAGGGCGACCGGACGCUGGGCAACUACGUGACGGACCGGGGCUUCCCGGCGAACCUGGAGCCGCUCAUGUUCGGGCGCGCGCUGCGGGGCGUGGACCCGCUCACCCGCGCCGCGCUGGUGGUGAAGCAGGUGAUGCGGCAGCUCGUCACGUCGCUCCGCCGCAUCCACGACACCGGCAUCGUCCACCGCGACAUCAAGCCCUCCAACCUCGUCGUCACCCGCCGGGGCCAGGUCAAGCUCAUCGACUUCGGCGCCGCCACCGACCUGCGCAUCGGCAAGAACUACUUGCCCGACCGCACCCUGCUCGACCCGGACUACUGCCCGCCCGAGCUCUACGUGCUCCCCGAGGAGACCCCCACGCCGCCCGCCGAGCCCAUCGCCGCCAUCCUCUCCCCGAUCCUCUGGCAGCUCAACAGCCCCGACCUCUUCGACAUGUACUCGGCCGGGAUCGUGCUCAUGCAGAUGGCCACGCCGGCCCUCAGGUCCCCCUCCGGCCUCAAGAACUUCAACUCCGAGCUCAAGGCCGCCGGCUACGACCUCAACAGGUGGCGGGAGACCACGCGCCGGAGACCCGACCUGCAGAUCCUGGACCUCGACUCCGGCAGGGGCUGGGACCUGGCCACCAAGCUCAUCGCGCAGCGGGAGAAGGGACGCCUCUCCGCCGCCGCCGCGCUCCGGCACCCCUAUUUCCUGCUCGGCGGUGAUCGGGCCGCCGCCGUCCUGUCAAAGCUGCAGCUCACCAAAUAAUUGAUACGUCUGGCUUCAUUGAACAAGCGACCAAACCCCUGCAUAUAGUUUCUAUAUAGAUGAUAAAUUCUGUCCUGAGUCCUGACAUGAGUGAGACGCAAGAUCACCAAUGGCAUUGGCAAUUUUGUUGUACAGUCAUGAUUUCAUGAGAUCUCAAGGCAUCUGGCUGGUAUCAAUCAAUCAGUACAUCGUUUUUGUGCGAGUUCAUAUGGACAGCGUGUGUGGCGCAAAGUUACAGAUGCUGGGCUAACUUAAUUUACUGCUGAUCGAGUGUGGACGCUACCAAGAAAUCCUACUUCUGCUGGUCAGUUUCUCGAACCUACGUAUGCCGCCGAGCAGGCCCUUGCUGAUGCUCCCAGCCAAUGGAGGCCGUGCUCGUCCUGAAGCUCUAUCGACUGGCAGGCAGGAACAUCAGGUUUUGUCCUCGAAAGACUGUUUACUCAUGACUUCGUCGCCUGGCCGGCAGUAUGGUUCGAACUUCUGCUGAAGAUCGACCUGGUUCCCCCCCACCAGCUUGUCGAUCUCCUUGUUAUCUCUCAAGAAGAUGAAUGUCGGCGUGGCACGUACGUCGAAUUGCGUGACCAGUUCCUGACAAAAAGCAUAUAUCGAAAUGACAUUUAGUUUGGGCAUUCGCUCAAAGGUAAAGUAGCAAUGAAUUGGCGGAACAUUUGUGUACCGGUAGUUCGUCUACGUCCACGGACACGAAAACAAGAUCGGAAUGCUUCAAAGAGAGUUCGGAGUAUGCAGGAGCAGCGAUCCUACACGGGCCACACCAUACUGCGCUGAAUUUUACAACAAGCUGUGCAGUUGAAAAAUGCCAACGUGGUUAAUCAAUACAGUUGAAGGGAUUCGAAAUUGGAAAUUGCAUGCACCUAUAUAUCCUUGUGUCCAGAGUAUGAGUUAGGUUGUAGGCUACUUACUGUUUUAUUGGCGUCAGUUGCAUCUUCCAAUUUCUUCUCCCAACUCUUUAGAUCAGUUAUAAGAGUCACAUUCCCAGAGCUGUAGUCUAGGUGUUCCUCCUCAUCUACAGGGUUCUGCAAAGGGAAGCAUAACCAAAGAACUCGAUUUACUAAUGUAUAACUCGAUAAACGGCUUCCUUACAAUACAGAUGCUAGUGCACGAUUCAGUUAUCAAAGUUGCCAGUUGUAAAUGAGAUGUAUGUGAGUAAAAACUACUCACGCUGCCGCAGCAUCCCAUUGGUUCGAGCAAAUCCGUCAGGAUGUCCGGACUCCUGGACUCUGGUACACGAGGAGGAAAAAGAGGUAUAUUUUCAGUGCUGAUUUCACUAUUUGACUGAAUAAAAGAUAACAUGAUACCAAAUAUAUCAAAUAUGAUUAACAUAGCUAGCUCUAGAUGGCGAAAUGGUGAAUAUAAAUAUGUACUACUACCUCUGUAAAGAAAUAUAAGAGAGUUUAGAUCACUAAGGGAGUACCUCUGUUCUUGAAUAUAAGACGUUUUGACAGUUUAAAUUGAAGUGUCAAAACUUCUUAUAUUUAGGAACAGAGGGUGUACAUACAAAUGGUGAAUGGCACUUCAAUUCUUCCAAACAAUGGCCAGAGACUGCAGAAAUAUGAACAAGAAGAGACCAGCUAAAAACGUGCUGUUUGUUUUAGAUAGAAAUUGAAACAGAUUUGAUGUCCGCAAGUCACAACCACAGCAAAUCCAAUAGAACUGAGAAGUUUGUUUCGACGAUAGCGAAUUUUGCUCAACAUAUUUGCCUGAAUCCGCGUGCUACAGCUUCAGACAAUCCUAGGGUGUCAAUUUUUUCAUCCAAAGGAGAUACAUUCAUUAAAUUGGAGGAGACCUCCAACAACAAUAUGACCGUUUGAACGCCAAAGAAAUGAACUUUUGUUGACCUACUAAUCCUAGAAAAAACAUACGGUUACCACAUUGCUUAGAUGUAUAUUGUAGAUUAAAAAGAAAUGCCAUGAUAUGGAACCGGCAAAUAGCUUUCGGCAGCCAUGCAUGCAGCCUGCUUAUUACUACAUUGCUGAGAGCAGAAUGAAAUGCACAUAUCCAUCAAUCCAUGCAUACCUUGGCAGGACCAAGAAGCCUACGUUCCGCCUCCUGACGAUGGGGGAUCCAACCGAAGAUUGAGAUUUCCCCGCGUUGGAUGCCUGCCGGCCGUCGUCCACGGCAAGCCCACCCCGGCGGGCGGCGGGGGCUCGGAGAGAGGCGGGUGGCGCCGGGGCGGAACGGCCCUUGCCGUUAAUAGCAGCAGCUCAAACCGUCGAAACCGGAGGGCGUGGUGACAGGGGAUCUGCAAAUAGGCCGAGGGAGGGAGCGGCUGGGAACGGGGUUCUGGGAAGGGAAGACGUACGCGCGCGCGCGCGCGGGAGAGGGAGGGCGAGAAAGAAAAGAGGCGACCGACCCCCUCCCACGUCCAAAAUUAGUUUGGUGUGAACUGUGGAGGAAGGUGCCUGCUGUGCUGUCGUUUUAGGCCUGCGAAAUGGAGCAAACUGGACGGCGGCGACGUGCAUGGCCGUUCUGCCGGCGCAGCACAGCACAGCACAGCGCCAGGACGUGACAAGGUAAGGCACACGGCGGUGCUGGCGCCGGUCAGCGGUGGCGGCAGAGCACAGUAUUUCGGGUGGCGGUGGCCCUCCUGGCUCUGCUGGUUUGCUGCUGCGCCUUGACACUCUUAUUUGCCGGCUUGAGUUUGUAUAUGAUUUUUCAUAACCCGUUUUCCACUUAUUAAGCACUGGUGAUUAAGCAUAAGCCGAUUUAUUUUUCAAACACCUACCUUUAAGCACUCAAAACAUCUAAAAAUAAAGGCGCACGCACCGCGCUGCUUGCGAUUUCUCAGCAAACCUGUCGUCUUCACAUGCUACUCUGUUUCAUUCCUAAAUAUAAGUCUUUAUAAAGAUUUUAAUAUUGACUACAUACGGAUGUAUAUAAACAUAGUUUAGAGUGUAGAUUCACUCACUUUGCUCCAUAUUGUAGUCCAUAUUGAAAUCUCUAAAAAGACUUUGCAUUUGUCUUGAAUUAAAGCUAGUAAACUUUUGAAAAAUUACUGACACCUACAAUAUCUAAUCAAUGCUAGUAACAUUAGAUUCAUCAUUGAAUGAAUGGUCAAAGUUUAGAAAGUUUGACUUGGGGCAAAGCAAAUAUGCAGAGCCAACACGUUUUGCAGCGAGCUUCUGGUAUAUUGCAAGUUGCAACUACCCUUGAUGCUUUAGCUGCGAACAACAACAAAACUGAACAUACAUACAUAUCGAAACAUGACCUAAAACCAAAAGAAGAUAAAUCUGGACAAGGUCAUGAAGCAAACAUGUUUUAAUGAACAUUUACCAAAUAACACCAACACCGAUGAAGGUUAACCCAACAAGCAUAGGUGAAUAGGCUGAUAGGCAUGCAUGUCUGCCGAUACUAGUGGCAAUUGAUGAUAGGGCCGACGCCGAAUGCAAUUUACAAUCCUUGAGGAUCGGAUUACACACAACCAGCAACAAAUCGAAGAAACAAUGGCCCAUAAAUAUUUUUCUUGAAGCGACAUUUCAGUUGUCCACGAUGCAGGUCUUCU
rnacentral:lncRNA from 1 species